ensembl:snRNA U6 U6 spliceosomal RNA
GAUGCCUUUGGAAGCACAUACUAAACUUGGAAAUAGAGAUUAGCAUGGUCCCUGUGCAACAGUGACACACAAAUCUAUAAAGUGUCCUGAUUUUCU